UACGGGGGGGGUAAGCGCUGUUCGGAAUUACUGGGCGUAAAGGGCUCGUAGGCGGCCAACUAAGUCGGACGUGAAAUCCCUCAGCUUAACUGGGGAACUGCGUCCGAUACUGGAUGGCUUGGAUUUGGGAGAGGGAUGCGGAAUUCCAGGUGUAGCGGUGAAAUGCGUAGAUAUCUGGAGGAACACCGGUGGCGAAGGCGGCAUCCUGGACCAAUAUUGACGCUGAGGAGCGAAAGCCAGGGGAGCAAACGGG
rnacentral:rRNA from 1 species